ensembl:lncRNA
AGGCAGGUAUAUUGGCAGGUGUAUAGACAGGUGUACAGGCAGGUGUACAGGCAGGUAUAUUGGCAGGUGUACAGGCAGGUGUACAGGCAGGUGUACAGGCAGGUGUACAGGCAGGUAUAUUGGCAGGUAUAUUGGCAGGUGUACAGGCAGGUAUAGGCAGGUGUACAGGCAGCAGGACAGGUAGGUAUAUUGGCAGGUGUACAGGCAUUUGUACAGGCAGGUGUACAGGCAGGUAUAUUGGCAGGUAUAUUGGCAGGUGUAUAGACAGGUGUACAGGCAGGUGUACAGGCAGCAGGACAGGCAGGUGUAUUGGCAGGUGUACAGGCAGGUGUACAGGCAGGUGUAUAGGCAGGUGUACAGGCAGGUGUACAGGCAGGAGAACAGCCUCAACAACCUGUUAAAUAGACACAUUAAAAGUGCUACAGGACCUCCAUUGAAACGGUCUCAUCAUUACUCAGAGAAGUGACCCAGAUAUUCAGAAGUGACCAUGUAUUCAUGUUUUAUACACACAUAACUGACCACAAAUGUAUUACAAAUCUGGAGAGGAAGUGUGCUGCCUGCCGAUCACAUCCCGUUGUCCUCUGGUCCCAGAUCUAAGAGACAUCAUUCGUCCUCUGGUCCCAGAUCUAAGAGACAUCACGUCCCGUUGUCCUCUGGUCCCAGACCUAAGAGACAUCACGUCCC